rnacentral:rRNA from 1 species
GAAAUGAUAGCUAAUACCGGAUUAAAUAUAGAUUCGUUUCUAUAUUAAAAGGAGCCUUUAAAGCUUCGCUUAAAGAUGGGCCUGCGGCGUAUUAGCUAGUUGGUGAGGUAAUGGCUUACCAAGGCGACGAUGCGUAGCCGAACUGAGAGGUUGAUCGGCCACAUUGGGACUGAGACACGGCCCAAACUCCUACGGGAGACAGCAGUUAGGAAUAUUCGUCAAUGGGGGAAACCCUGAACGAGCAAUGCCGCGUGAACGAUGAAGGCCCUAUGGGUUGUAAAGUUCUGUUGCAUGGGACGAACGGCUAGGAUAGGAAAUGAUCUUAGUGCGACGGUACCAUGCCAGAAAGCUCCGGCUAACUACGUGCCAGCAGCCGCGGUAAUACGUAGGGAGCGAGCGUUAUCCGGAUUUAUUGGGCGUAAAGGGUGCGUAGGCGGUUUGUUAAGUAUGAGAUUAAAGCCUGAGGCUUAACCUCAGUUCGUUUCAUAAACUGGCAGACUUGAGUAUGGCAGAGGUAAACGGAAUUUCUAGUGUAGCGGUUAAAUGCGUAGAUAUUAGAAGGAACACCAGUGGCGAAGGCGGUUUACUGGGCCAUAACUGACGCUGAGGCACGAAAGCGUGGGGAGCAAAUAGGAUUAGAUACCCUAGUAGUCCACGCCGUAAACGAUGAGUACUAAGUGUUGGG